rnacentral:rRNA from 1 species
CCUACGGGAGGCAGCAGUGAGGAAUAUUGGUCAAUGGGCGCGAGCCUGAACCAGCCAAGUAGCGUGAAGGAUGACUGCCCUACUGGUUGUAAACUUCUUUUAUAAAGGAAUAAAGUGAGGCACGUGUGCCUUUUUGUAUGUACUUUAUGAAUAAGGUUCGGCUAACUCCGUGCCAGCAGCCGCGGUAAUACGGAGGAUCCGAGCGUUAUCCGGAUUUAUUGGGUUUAAAGGGAGCGUAGAUGGGUUGUUAAGUCAGUUGUGAAAGUUCGCGGCUAAACCGUAAAAUUGCAAUUGAUACUGGCAGCCGUGAGUACAGAUGAGGUAGGAGGAAUUCGUGGUGUAGCGGUGAAAUGCUUAGAUAUCACGAAGAACUCCGAUUGCGAAGGCAGCCUACUAAGCUGCCACUGACAUUGAUGCUCGAAAGUGUGGGUAUCAAACAGGAUUAGAUACCCUUGUAGUC